UGGGAAUGGAGCAUUGCUAUCAAUUUCGCGAACGAUAUGCGUGUAAGAAUUGUCAUUUUUGCUUUGGCUUUCGACCCCAACGUUUUGAUGGACUAAGGUUACCCUAUGUCAUUACUGUGUGUUUGAUGCUUUUUUGUUGCCUCUUGAUGUUGUCGUCUUGCCAAUUGUUGGUAAGGUGUUCGUCUUCUCGCAUGAGGAACUUGUCCACCUGUGAAGCAGCCUGCCGGCCCUCUGAGAUGGCCCAGACCACUAGAGACUGGCCACGCCGGCAGUCCCCUGCUGCAAAGACCCCUUCCACGCUGGUUGCAAAGCGGCCAUAAUCUGCCUUUAAGUUUGAUCGGUUGUCUCGCUCCAACCCCAGCUUCUCU
rnacentral:lncRNA from 1 species